CCCUAUCCACCAAUCUCUCGUCCGCCUCGAGCCCGGCAUCCCUCCUUCCCUGCGCGCUCGGCCGGCUCCGGCAGCAGCCGCCCCCUCUCUUCUUCACCUCCGGCGGCUAGCGCGGUGUAGGGAGCGUCGAGCGCCACCGCGCAUAUGGCAGCGGCGACAGUCAGGAUGCUGGCCCUCGGCCAGGAACGCGGCGGGCAUGGCCGCUCCUCUCCUCCCGAUUCGCCUCCUCUUCUUCGUGCGCGGCGAACGCGGCAGCCAUGGCCGCUCCUCUCCUCCCGAUUCGCCUCCUCUUCUUCGUGCGCGGCGAACGCGGCAGCCAUGGCCGCUCCUCUCCUCCCGAUUCGCCUCCUCUUCUUCGUGCGCGGCGGCCGCUGCAGCUCCUCGUGCUGCCCUCCAUCCAUCCCGCCCCUCUUGUUUUCCUCCUCUCUCAGAUCGGGCGCCGUCCCUCGCCGUGGUUCCAGAUCGGGGCGGAGGUCGCCGCCAUUGAGGAGCAGGGGAGGGCGAGGCCUGGAGCUCCACCGGCAGCGCGCGCUACAUUGGUCAUCUUCUCCUACCCACGUAAACAGCGAGCAGAGGCGUAAUCACGCAGGUGCCAGGGAUCAUACAAUCAAUCCAAUUGUUACCCUUGGUGUGCUUUCUGGAUGGACUAAUCUGAAGAUGCUGGCUAGCGUGCAUCGCCAUCAUAUAGUCGAGCAAGGUCAAGGGGAAAAUAAAGGCGAUUCACCAUCUGGGGAAAAUACCAACUAAUACAUUUUUGUAGUUCCUCUGUUACAGAGGUUGCUGCUGCAAGGUGCAGCAGCAGGGGAGAGGAAGGAGGCCUGUGAUAGGGGGAAAGUGCAGGCUGGCCCUUGUUCAUAGGUUAGCCAUUGGAUCUGGAUACUCAUGUUAAAAUUGCAAGUUUCCACAUGUAGAUUUUAUUGUUUGAAGGCAAAGUAAAUUGCAGCAUGAGCAUAAAGACAAUUUAGCCGGGGGCACCUAAACUGAGAGGGAGGUUAGCAGCAAAAGAAAGACCGCUACUUAGGCUUCCAUGUCUCCCUACUCUUCAGUUUAGACCUCCGAAGGUCGAAGGCCAUGAAACACUAAAUAACCUUGCAACGGAUACCCUGUGGUCUACCAUUAUAAUUAUGUGUGCAUUUUGGAUCUAUUGGAUGUCUGAAUGUAAUGCUAAUCGACAUUUACUGAUGCAAAGAUUUGCAGGGACGUAAUAUAUAUUGUGAUGUUUCACUACGAUCUUCAAGUGUUUCAGUUCGUAUUUAGCAGGAUCACAUGUUGACCAAUGACUCUUUGUUUUCUCACUGAUCCAGUAUACUCAAGAACUUGAAUAUUGUGUUUGCUGUGAGUUAUUGACAGUUAUUUUUGCAACUCAGGAGUGAAGAUGGCCUUCCUUUGGUAGGCGUAGUGAAUGGAUUUUCUUCUAAUUCAGGCCAUGGUUGAUACCGCUCGGCGUCUGGAUCUGCCAUGGAGUGGCUACCAUGGGCCAACCAGAGCUGGGUGCCCCUGUUUCCGACCUCGAGGCGAUUAGAUUAGAGUCUGAUUAAUUAUGUAUCAUUCGGUCCUUCCUUUGGCUAUUAAUCUAUUGUGGUCUGCUUUUCAAGCUCAUACAACAUGCUUAUAUUGAAUUAAAUUUUGUAUAGAUAGCUGUAAGAUUCUAGCGAAACAUCUUCAAGCUUAAGUUGCUGAACUGAUAUAGCAUCUUGAUACCAUACAUGUAAACUAAUUUAGGAAAUUGUAUUGUUCUGAGAUAAUUUUUUAUUUGAAAACAUUACCAACAUAGGCGUGUUACCUUCACACAGGGAAGAAGUUAUUUUGUGACCUAAAGAUAUGAUCUAUGGGCCUACCUCAAUAUCUCAGGAGUUGUCCUUUCCUUGUUAACCCUGUACACUUGACAAGGCCCAUCUGUUCAAGAAGGACUGAGCAACACGAGGAACUUCGUUGACCCAGCCGUGAGCAUAUGAUGCUCUAGCGAGUCGAUGAGGACCGUCAUGGAGAUCUGCCUGCGGGGCCUGAACAAGGAACCGAUGCUGAGGCCGUUAGACGAGGACGUGCUCUAGAACCUGCAGUUUGCAGCCCUGGUGUAGGAUGACUGGAACUGCGAGGAGUCCCCGCUCUCAUCGUCACAGAUCCGUGCGCAAUCCGCAGAGUACUAACCUCUAGCCUGGCUGAGAAAAAAUAUUGGCAAGCAUUACCAUUAUGAUCCUCCAUCGAUCAUCAUUGUUGAAGGAAUUUCUGUUUCUCUUCAUAUAGGAUACAGAUAUGUGAUUUUCAUGUGCUCCUUUUGCUGGAAACUUAAUAAUAUUAGGGGUGCUGCUACUGGUGUAAAAACCGUUUUAUCAAAAGAACUAAAGUAGUAGCUAAUCCAAGCAUUGAAGAAUUGACGCAGAUGUUACGGUAUAUUGGCAUGAAGUCAGAGCAGCGCCUGAAGACUACACAAGAUAGUUUGUGGUGACCUUCAGUCUAUAUGUCCUAACCAACAACAGCCACCUUUUGUUUCAUAUCAAUAGAUCCAGUAUAUUUGCCCUUUUGGCGUUGCUCUGAGCAAGAUAUGUAUAGCCUUUAGAUUUCCAUUCAUGCAU